AUGAACCCCCAAGCAAGCCUUGGCCCUGAUGGUUUCGGCCCCUUGUUCUAUAGAUCCUUCUGGCCCUCUAUCAAGCAUGCAAUUCUACCCCCUUUUGUGCAAUUUCACCAAGGCGUGGCAGAUACGGAGCGCCUAAACUGUGCACACAUCGCUCUCCUACCAAAGAAUGCCUCCCCAACGUCACCCGUCGCCUUCAGACCAAUUUCCCUACAAAACUGCCCAGUCAAAGCUAUCGCUAAAGUCCUCACUUCGCGCCUCAAACCUCUAAUUCCUAGUCUAGUUCAUGGUAAUCAAACUGGGUUCAUCACCGGCCGGAAUAUUGCCGAAAACUACGUCUAUGCAGCAUACCUCAUCAGCACUUGCCACUCUCGCAAACGACCAACCAUGAUUUUCAAGCUUGACUUCAGGAAGGCCUUCGAUUCCGUUGCCUGGACCGCCCUGGACAAAAUCUUGGCUGUUCGCGGCUUCUCCCAAUCUUUUCGUACCUGGAUUCAAAAUAUCCUCCACACGGGCAAGACUGCCAUCCUCCUAAAUGGCAUUCUAGGCCACUGGAUACAAUGCAAGAAUGGACUGUGACAGGGUGACCCGGCCUCCCCCUACCUUUUCCUAAUCGUCACCGAUCUGCUUCAGCAGCUCAUC
rnacentral:rRNA from 1 species